rnacentral:lncRNA from 1 species
AUAAGCGAAAGGUUUCUUCACCGACUUCCUUAACAGCUACUCCAUCUGCAAAGCCCCCAACCUGGUCCAACAUCACUCUUUCGCCAUGAUGAAGCGACAAUGCCAUUGCAUUUGCAUCAAAAGGCUCCACUCCAAUAAUCUUCACCUGUAUAGUAAUACAACACUAAGUGAUGUGGAUGAAUUACGUCAUGCAGCAAGGAACAAGCACAUUCAAUGUAAUUUCAAACAAGAUAUAGUAUAUGUUUAUAUGAAGGACCCACAUACCCUCGGGGAAACCCUCUUAACAUAAGCAGCAAUGCCAGCUACAAGCCCACCACCACCAAUAGGUACAAAGAUUGCAUGCAAUGGGCCUGGCAUUUGGCGCACAAUCUCCAUCCCAACAGUGCCUUGUCCCAUGAUAACAUCUGGAUGGUCAAAAGGGGGAAUAAAUGUUCGACCUUCCUCUUUAGCCCGUUUUUUAGCAUAUGUUUGUGCCUCAUUAUAAGAAUCUCCAACGAGAACAACAGUUGCGCCCAACCUCUCAACAGAAUGCCACUGCAAAACAAGAAACCAAACAUUCAAAUUAAGAAACCUUAUGUGCUAUGCAAUUGAUACAAAAAACAUCACAAAAUAGCACCUUAAUUUCUGGUGUGGUAACAGGCAUAGCAAUAACAGCAUUGCAACCGAGUCUCUUGGCAGCCAAUGCGACCCCUUGGGCAUGAUUUCCUGCUGAUGAGCAAAUAACCCCUCUUUCUAACUGUCCCUUCGGAAGCUUUGCCAUCAUAUUAUAAGCUCCACGAAGCUUAAAAGAGAAAACCUGAAAAUAUGAAACAUCAAAUCUGUAAGCACUUUAUCUGAAUAUGAAAAACAAUAUUGAACUACAAAAAGAAAAGAUUUCCGCUUUGGCAAUUCAUUAACAGAUUAUAAAAACAAAGACUAAAUUCAACUAAAAAAACAUGUGAAUAUUUACUCAUAACAUCAAUGCAUCUCAGAGCACAUAAAUAAAAAACAAAUAGGGUUUAAUCCAAGCUAAAAAAAAACCAGUCCGUUAAGCUUAAAAUAAGUAAAGCAAAAUCAUAGAAUAUAAACAGUAUUAACUCCCAACACCUCACCAAUCAUAGAAACAAAUAUCAUUAGAAAUGAAAACCCAAAAACCUAAAAGAAAAAAAAAAUAACAAGAAGAUAUUUCGCCAAAUACAAAUUAAAAACCAAAAACUAGAACCUCAAUGGUUGCAAUUUUUAAAUGGAAAAAAGAACCCAAAUCAUGAAAUAAUCCCCCGAAAAAAAAAUCAAUCUUUCAAAAAAAUGAAAACUUUUCUUACAGGCUGUAAAUCUUCUCUCUUAAGCCAAACUUGAUUACCCAAUCGUUCAGACAACUUAGUCGCCAACUGUAACGGUGACUCUAUCGCCACAUCAUAAACCUUCGACGACAAAAUAUUCGUUAAAUACUCCAUCGCAUUUACUACGUCGCCGUUUCCUUCAUCCAUUGAACGUUCCGGUACCGCGCCUAAGUAACCUGACGGAUACCGCAGGGAAUUAGCAGACACCUUCUUCGGCGGCGCAGAAGGAACCACAGCAGAAGUUGACGACGACGAAACGAAGCGUUAUCGAGAGAAGUAACGGUCGGAGAAGAGAUAUCAGCCAUCGGUUUCGACACAGCGGCUCUGAUCCACGGGCGGAUACAUUUCUUUGUAAUGUGGCGCGCAGUAAAUGAUGUAGUUGGGACCCUCUCUUUGUGGCGGAGUAGCGGCGGAUGAGGUGGCGUGAGGCGAAGAGCCUCCAUUGGUUUUAAAUUUUUGAAAAUUUAAAGAAAAAAAAUAGAAAAACCAAAGAGAAAACGUGGUGGUGAAAAGAAAAUACGCUUUCUAACUCUAAGACGUCGGGCGGCUUUUGGAGGGGACCUUAUAGUUUAUAAAGACAAAGGAGGGAGGGUAAAUGGUUUUUCAUUUGGCGCAAUUUUUGGAGUGAACAAAUGGAGGCUAUGAAAGAUUGACACCUGGUGAAAAUGACGUAAGCAUGUCACUGUACCUGACGGGUUUCGUGCACUGCGGGUGACGGAUGGUAAGUGUUCUAUUUUAAAAUGCACAAGGAAGGAGUGUGCUCCGUUGACUCGAAACUCAACACCGUGAGACAACAGACCAGACACGCUGUGUGGAAAGAAAGAUGGAGCGAGUUUCAUUCAAUUUCAAGUAAGUUUUCGGUUGGAAUUUCCUUUUUAUUUUUUAUUUUAAGAGAAGAAAAUUCACACCCUUCCAAUAGGUAUUGUUGAGUCUCAAAUGUGAAAUUUUCAUAUUUGUUAGGAUGCAUUUCAAUGUAAAAAAGAAAAAAGAAAAAAAAGCUAACAAAUAUAUUUUUAAUUUCAUGAUAUAAAAAAUGAAACUCUUUAUCUGUAAUUAUAUAAUCAUAAUUUAAAUUUAUUUAAAAUUUAUUGCUUAUAAAUAUAGCAGUGAGGAUUUUACGUAAUAUUUUAUGAUUAAUUAAUUUUAUGACAUUAAUUUCGUAUAAUAUUCUAAAAAAAGAAAAAAACAUUGUUUCAAGGUGACAAUCAAUGUCAUGAAAUACAAUGUUAAAGAUGAAUUUUUGUUAUUUGUCUUGGGUUAUUUAUGUUGGCUUAUUAGAAUUAUUGAUUGUUAUGUCAUGCGAAAAUGACUACAAAGUUAGGCCAAAUUAACAAAGAUUAUCGUCAAAGCUUAAUUAUAUAAAAUUAAGGCCAAACAAAGAUUAGCUCAAUCUAUGCCUAAGAUUAAAAAUCUUUCAUCAGUGGCUGAGAAAAUAUGAAACAUUACUCGAACACUACUAAAUCAUCAUCUUAAUCAAGAGAGGACAUUCUAAAAUCUUUACUAUAAAAUUAGGCCAACGAGUAUUGUCAAAUCUUAAUUAUAUAAAAUUAAGACCAAACAAAGAUUAGCUCAAUCUAUGCCUAAACUUAAAAAUCUAUAAAAUUUCAUUAGUGGCUAAGAAAUUACGAACGUUCCUCGAACACUAAUAAAUCGUCAUCUUAAUUUGAAAAAUGACAUACUAAAAUCUUUACUACAAAGUUAGGCCAAAUUAAGAAAGAUUAUCGUCAAAGCUUAAUUAUAUAAAAUUAAGGCUAAACAAUGAUUAGCUCAAUCCCUACCUAAGCCUAAAAUAUCUAGAAAUUUUCUUUAGUGGCUAAAACUUUAUAAAUGUUACUCGAAUACUACUAAAUCAUCGUCCUAAGCUAAAAAGGGACACUCUAAAAUUCUUAAAUUUAGGUGAAUUUCGUUUAAUGUUUUGUUAAUUUAUUACUUUUUUAUAAUACAAUAAUACUUAUAUCAUAUCCGUUGAAUAAUGCUCAUUAAAUUGUAUAAUUUGUAUUCCUAUAACUAAUGUUGUAAAAAAGUAAACAUUGUUUGUCAUUAAUUAAUACUAAUUAUGCUGUGGACUAAUGCUUGACUUCAUCUCCUUAGAUACGGUGUUGUGAAUUUAAGUCAUUUUAAAUUAGGGAAUGGUCACGUGGGUUUAAGUCAUUUUAAAUUAGGGAAAUAAAAGGAAGGUGGAUAAGUACGUGCAUGUGAGUUAAAGUCAUCAGUUUUGUACAAAAAAUAUUGUAAAAAUUCUUACUUGACACAAAAGAGGUGGCCAUAUGCUAAAAAAGUAAUUAAGGAUAUAAAUAGGAGUAUAAUCGAUUAAAUUGGAAUUGAUAUAGUAUUAAAUUUAAGUUUAAAUUUGACUUUAAAUUUGAGAUUUAAAAUUCGGUUCAAAUUUAAUUAAAUUUUAUUUUUUUAAUUAAAGUUCAAUUCGAAAUAAAAAUUAAGUCAUUCCAGCUCGCUUGAUUAACAUGUAAAAAUAAAUUUUAUUUUUAUAUUUGAUAAAAGUUCGAUUAUUUAUGUUCAAACUAAAACUCGAAUUCGAGAUAUUUUAUUAAUUAAAAUAAUUAUAAUAUAUUAUAAUAUAAAAACUCAAUUAAACUUUUAAGUAAUUCGAAUCGAAUAUAAAAAUGUUUGAAUUCGAUUUAAUCGAUAAAUUAAAUUAUUCGAAUUUAAGUUUGAUUCAAUAAUAAUCGAAUUAAAUUUAAAUUUUAUUUUAAUUGAAUCUAAGUAACUUACAAGUACUAAUAUAUUAUUUAUACUCUUAAAUAUAAAUACAGGUCUUAUUAAAAAGUUUUAAGUUAGAAAAUUGACGGUGGAUUCUCCUAGUCAUAACCAAAAUAAUGAUGUUUCAUGUUGGAAUUUGAAAUUCCCUUUUCAUAUAUACAUCAUUUAAUAAAUGCUUUGGCCACUUACUCAUAUGCUUUUUCCUAUCUAAAUAAAAAUAAUAUUUUAUUAAAAUUUAAAAUUACAUUAUUAUAUAAAAAGUUAUCUCCUUUGCAGAUAAUAAAGUUUUUAAAUUCUAAAAAUAUGAAGAUCACACACACAUAUAUAUAUAUAUAUUAAAAAUAUAUAUAUGAUAAUUUUUAAUCUUAUUUAUAAAAUAAAAAAAUUAUACUGUUAGCGUACUCUUAUUUUAUUAUUGAGUACAUAUAUAACAAAUUAAUCAACCAUACACCAAAAGUUGGUAGACCUAAUUAUCAACCAACGAAUGUUUUCACAUAAUUACAUAAUUAAAGUUUCAGUAUAACCCUUAGCUUUUUUUUUUUAAUUUUCUAGGAUAAUAUUUUUAUAGCACCUGGCAGAAUAUAAUGUCAUUGUCUUUGAAUAAUUUUUAAAAAUAAAAAAUUGAAUGAACCCAAUACCUAAAUAUAUAACUAUAUGUGUACGUAUCGGACUGACAAUCAUGUGUAAAAUAAAUAAAUAAAUAAAUAAAAUAAAUAGAAGACGAGAUUCAAUUAAAGAGGACAAGAAAACCUAAAUAAAAGAAAGACUGGAUUGAUGCUGCCUUUCUUUCAACCCAACAUCUUGAUGUGGAAAAAAAUUUUAAAAAGUAAAAAAAUGUUAAAAACUUGGUUGUUACAUAAAUUUUUCAUAUAUAUAUUUUUGUGUUUCACAUGCUAUUUAAAAAUUAUUUAUUUUUUAAAAAAAUCAGUCCAAAGAAAAUUAGUUCAUCUCACUGGAGUUUGGACUUUUGGGGUCUCAAAAAGAGUUGUUGGCGUUAGAUAGUUUUGUUCAUUUAUUUAAUGUGCCAAGACUCUUGAUUAAAACAAAAAAAUAAAUAAUUUAUUGUCUAAUUCUAUUGAAAUGUUUUAUUAUAAAAAUUUAAAUGAAAGCAAGUUAUUUCAUUUCAAAUCAAAGCAUAUUAUAAAUUUUAAAGAAAAUUUACAUUAAUUUUAUUAAUCAUUCAUAAAAAAUCGUUUGCAAUAAAAAGUUAAAAAUCAAAUAUAAAUCUUAUGAACAAAACAUUCCGUUUUUAUCUAUUUAACCAACAUCCUUUAAACUAAUUUUAUUAAAUUGUUAUUAAAGAUUUUAUAUACGCUGCAUGCAUUAGGUAUAGGAAAAGGACCAGUAGAACAUUUAUAAAAAAGAAACUUGUUAAAGAUGCUUUUUUUUUUGUACAAAUUAUAUACUAGAUUAAAUUGUUUUUAGAGAAGUUAUUAAUUAUAUUAACAGUUGAAAUUUUUAAGUUUAUAAGUGAAUUUAAGAUAAUGAUAUAUAUUUUUUAAUGUAUAUUUAAAACAUUAAAAAAUUUUAAUUAAAAAAAAUAUGUAUUAUUAUUUUAAUUUCAUUUAUAAAAUUAAAAAAUUUUAUGUUAAUAUAUCAAAUAAAUAUAUCAAAUAAAUGGUUAGAGGGUUGUGAGAAUGUAAUUUUUUAUGAAUAUUUUAGAUUCAGUAUAAAUAAAUUUUAAGAUAAAUGAAUAACUUGGAUAAAUUAAUAAAAUUAAUUUAUAUAAAAUCUUGGGGUUGAAAUUUUGGUAUGGUGAUAAAUAAUGGGAAAAAAAAAAGAAAAAAAGAAACAAAUUUAGUUUCUUUUUUUUUUAAAUAAAAACUCGUUUAAGGAAAUGAUAAGUAUAAAAAAAUAAAUAAAUAAUGGGAUAAAAGGUUCCAGAUGGUCCAUUGGACCCUUAAAGCUCCAGCCCUAAGCUGGUGUGUUAUUUAGUUUCUUUUUUUUUUUUUAAUAAAAACUCGUUUAAGGGAAUGAUAAGUAUAAAAAAAUAAAUAAAUAAUGGGAUAAAAGGUUCCAGAUGAUCCAUUGGACCCUUAAAGCUCCAGCCCUUAGCUGGUGUGUUAGUGUGGUCCACAGACCCAAACACAACACAACUGAUGUUACCCAAACAUUAGUAAUGGUGAGAUUGGUCAAAAAACGUGGCCUAAAAUCACCGUACCGGGUCCAAUCAAAACCAAAUGAGGCCUAAAUGUUCUAGCUAUAUUUGAUAACUGCUUGUCUUUUGGGUUUUAAGGAAAAGAUUUUUGACCAAUGUGUUUAAAUAUAAUUUUACUUUAAUAAAAUCUUGUAUAUGAUUUUUUAAAUUCAAAAUUAAUUUGACAUGACUAAAAUUAUUAUUAUAUUAAUAAAUAAUAUAUUUAUUUAAUUUUAUUUAAAAAAUUAAAAUAUUAAUAUUAAAAGUUUUUUAAUAUUUUUAUAAUUCUAUUCAAAUAAGAUUUUGAACAUGAUAGCUUAAGUUUGAGUUUGAUUUGAUUCAACUUGAAAUAUCAUUAUAUUAAUAAAAAUAUUUUAUUUAAGUUUAAUUAAAAAGUUAAUAUAUUAACAUUAAAAGUCUUUUGAUAUUUUGAUUUUAAAUAUUUUUUGUAUAUUAUUAAAUAUAAAUAUUUUUAAUAUUUCAAUAAUAAACAAUAUUCUAUUAUUAUAUUAAUAAUAAACAAUAACAUAUUUAACAAUAUUUUUAUUAUUCUAAUAAUUAAUAUUAAAUAAUAUAAUAAUAUUAUUUUAGUAAUAUGAAUAUUUUUAGUAAUUUCUUAAUUUUUUAGUUUAAAAUAUAUUAUUUAUAUUUUAUUUAUUAAGGUAUUUUAUUACUAUUUUAACAAUAAAUAUAAAAAAGAAUUGUUUUUGUUAAGAUUUAAUAAUAAAUACUUUUAAAAUAAAAAAUAAAUAUUUUAAUACUAUAAAUAUUUUGAUAUUUUAAAAAUAAAUAUUACUAUUUUAAUAUUAUAAUAAUUAUAAAAAUAAUAUUUUAAGAAUAGUAAUAUUAUUUUAAAUAUUUUAAUUUGUUAAUAUAAAGAAUAAUAAAUAGUUUUGUUUUAUGUGUUUUUUAUAUUAGUAUAAUAUUUUAAUUUUAAAUAUUAAUAAAAUAUAAUUAUUUUUAAUAUUAAUAAUUUUAAUAGUAAAUAAUUUCAAAAUACUUUAAUAAUAAAUAAUUCUAAUAUUUAUGUCAAUAUUAUUAUUUUUUAAAUAAAAUUUUAAAAAAAUCAGAUAACAAAAAAUAUUUUCAUUGACUCAUGACUCAUCCAAAUAAUAGAUAAUAUCACUUUUUCCAAAAAUAUAAACAUUUUCUAUAAAAUAUUUUUUGAAAGUUAAUUUCCGUAAAACAAGCGAACCUUUUUGUUUAUUUUGGCAAUAAAAAAUAAAACAAACAAAAAGAAUGAAUAUACAAAACUAAAAACAAAAUAAUAAAAGUAAAAGCGUUUAUUAAAUGAGCUUAAAUGUUGAUAAACUUGUUUUUUAUCACCUAGUUUGUACCAUUUAUGAGUAGUCCAUUAACUAGGUUUGACAAUUUGUAUUCUUAUAUUGUGUUUAUGUCAUAUUGAGAAGUGUAAUUAUACGAAUUAUUGAAAUACAAAUAUAGCAUGAAUUAUAAAAUAUAUUUAAAUUUUGAAUACAACACGUUUAUUAUAUGUAUUACAUGCGAUACGAUAUAAUUAACAUAUAUAUAAUUAAUUUAUUUACACAUGAUAUGAACAAAUAUGAAUAAUACGGAUAUACACGAAUAGAUACGACUAAUAUAUAUAUAUAUACGAAUAAACACGACUAAUAUUAAUAUAUAUAAAAAUAUGACUAAAAUAAUAAAUAAUUAUAAAUUAUCAAUCAAUUACAACUUAAUAAAUUUGAUAUACGACUUGCAUAUUAAAAAUAAUAAAAAAAUUAAAUACCCAUUUAAUAUGUACUUAAUAUAUAUAUUUAAAUUUUAAUAUAUAUUACAUAACUAUAAUAAUUUUUAGUAUUAAAUUCAAAAUGAUAAAUUAUUGAAGAUUAAAAAAUAAAAUAAUGAUGUAUAAGACUAGUAUUAAUAUUUAUAUUUUAUUUAUAUUAUUAAUAUAAAAAUAAUUUUAUAAUAAUUAUUAAAUGAGUAUCAUAAUUCAAUGUUUAAAAUAAUCUUUAUAUGCUAUUGAAAAACUAAUUAAGUAUCGUAAUUAAAAAAUUAAAAAUUAAAAUAACUUUUAUAUGUUUAUAUUAAAUUAAAGUACAUAUAAAAAUAUUUUAAAUGCAGACUCAUAGGACAAAAAUAAAUUAAAUAUAUUUUUUGUGUCAGAAUACAUGUUAACAUGUAUCCGUAUGAUACAUUUUAUCUAAACGUGUCUUACAUAUAUUUAGAUUUAUUAAUAAAUAUUUAAACGUACCAAUACAUAUACUGUAUAAAUUAUAUCAUAUGAAAAUUUAUAUCAAUACAAAUAAAUAUAAAACAUAUUUUUUUAAAAUAUGUAUAUAUUAUUUUUUAUAUUAAUUUUAUAUCAUAUCAUCAUAUUAUAUAUGAAAUUAUCAGAUCUAUCAAUAUCCGAAAUGUCUUGCAAAAUUUAUGAUUUCAUAUUUUUGGAACAGUAUACAGCAAGCAUAGUAUCAGAGUAACCUCCAUAUGUAGUAGUUCCAACAAAAGUGCUUUGCCACUAAUUUUCAAGAUUCUUAGUGCAGUCACCGCAGGAGUGACAUGACUCAACCAUGCAACUUUAUCUUCAAUUUUGAUUUUUUUAACUUAUAGAAUAAAACCAGCAAAAUUAUAAUAUUCAAAAUUUAAAUUUAUUAAAUAUUAUUUUCUUAUAAAUAAUUAUAUAACUAAAAUUAAAUAUCACCUCUGUCACUGAACCAACAAUCUCAUGAGAUUGUUGAGAGUUGUUUAUAAUCUAUUAACCUACGCUUAAUUUAAUAAAUAGUGCGUGGACACUUGGACAAGCAACGUUGAUUUUAUACUGCAGGCUCCCAGGCUCCUCUGGCAAAACAGUUGCAAGCACUGCCUCCUGUUGUCUACCCACAUUAGCCAGUUCGGUAACCACUCUAAGCUUAUCAAAAUUCAUGUUUGCACCGCUAGUUAUUGCUACAACAUUCUUUCCCUUAAGGCUGUAAUAUUUGCAAUAUGCUUCAGCUCCCGCAAGGGCUAGGGCACCUGCUGGUUCCAGAAUGCUCCUCUUCUCUUCAAACAUGUCCUGCAACACAAGCAGUACAGCUGUAAAUCCUAAGCAUUCAAACAACCAUGUGUUAAUUAGAUGAAGGCCAUCAGUUAUCCAACAAAAACCAAUAGCACUAGUCAUACUGGAGAGACAACAUUAGACACGAGGAGAGAGAAAAAAUCAUAAGAAGGGCUUCUAACAUCCAUAAGGUUAAGAAUAAAUAAUUAGAGAACAAAUGGUGAUGGGGACAGGCCACACUCUUUCCCGAAAUGGGAAAUAGAACACCAUAAAACUGCAUAAAAAUUCAAGUUAAACACCCAAUUUGUGAGCAAAACUAACCAGAAGUGAACUACCUUCAUAUGAAGAACCAAAGGCACAUUCCAAUUCCUAAAAUACUACAUCUAGAAUCCAAGUUAAAUCAAAGGUACAAUAUAUUUGAACUAGAAAUUUGACACUUUGUUUCAAAUUACAAUUUUAGGUAUUUCAAGCCAGCAUUUCAGUUGUUUGCUCAAUUCACAACUGUAUCAUACAAGGACAGAAACGAAUAACUAAAAUAAAGAUUGACAACCUUAAGCUGUAUGUUAAGAGGCACAAAUGGCUCAAUGCAAAGAAGCCAUACCUUUAUAGAGGCACAAAUAGCAUCAUGGUUUACAAGAACGACACCAUCCACCAAUUUCCUACAUAAGCGAAAGGUUUCUUCACCGACUUCCUUAACAGCUACUCCAUCUGCAAAGCCCCCAACCUGGUCCAACAUCACUCUUUCGCCAUGAUGAAGCGACAAUGCCAUUGCAU